rnacentral:lncRNA from 1 species
AAGAAUGUACUAAUCCUUUCCGCAGGCAGUGAAUUUCUUCGUUUUUGUAUUCGAUAGGCGUUGCGUUCAGUGGCUAUGGUGGAAUAGUAAGACGCAAGCAAAACGAUUGAUCGAACUGGUGAUGUUUUUUUCUAUUUCCUUUCCUUUGCUUCUUUAUUAAUCAUCAAUGCCCUAAAAUAAUUCCAUAUAAUUUGGAAAUUUCAAGUUCCCCGAGCAUAAUUUAUACUCGAAGUUGUGUUUGAUUUUACUUUGCUUUGCUUCUGUCAAUAACUUGUAAAAUACCAUUUAUUGAUUGUACACUGAUGCGUUUUCAACAUAUUUCUCUGAAGAUUUACAAGUCAAUGACAACACCAAAGUUUCAAAUCACAUACAAUUAUUUAUUUGAAUACAAGUCAGAGUACAAACCCGUUAAUCACAAAAGCAUAAAUCAACAGUAGAUACUAAAUCACAACAAAGUUCACUCCCCAAUUCACAAAAUAUAGAACAGCUGCAGUUAACGAUGCAGAUUGCAGAAUAUAAUAAGCUUCUUAGUCAGUGCAGCAACGAUACAAGAAAAACCUCUCCAUCGAUCGCCCGCAUUCAGCGCAAACAACUCUCUCCGGCACACUUCCGGUGGUUCCGGGCAAAAUCAGGCGAUUGCAGUGAUGCGGCGGCUGGUUUGCCUCAAGAUGAUCAUUCAAAGCCGGCAGAAACCCUCUCUCUUGAGCAUCCCCUUGCCAAUCAUUGUAGUUCGUCAAUCCCUUCAAAACACUUUCGCCACUUGCCCUACGCAUCCAGUCGUUUGAGCCACGGCAGAUCACCGCCCAUCCCUGGUCGUUUCCGUCGUAGGUAAGCAUCACAUUAAUCUCUCUCAAAAUCGGAUCUUCCUCAAAAGACUUCCCGUGUUGUAACUUGGAGUGCAACAUGCUCUCUAGUCGCACCCAGAAGAACCAUAUCAGGGUCAAAUCUGGAAGCACGUAGCUAAGAUUCUCUGAUCGGAUUAUGUCAUUGUUCUUUCUCACUUUCUCCCUAGGGUUACUCUUUCCAACAUACAACAUCUCCAGCUGGAUCCCUGCUGCACGCGCCACCGCCUGUGCGGUGGUUGUAAACCUCCUUAUCCACUCCAAAUCCUCCCCUCCGUACAAACAAAUGUACUUCCCGUCAGCAAUCUACAUGAUAAUCGGGAAAAUAUGAAUAUCAAUCGGAUUAAUUUACAGUAAUUAGGUUAAAAAAGAGAAUAGAAUUAUUAGAAUACCCAAUUGAAAAUCAUUGGCUCGAUGGAAUCUGCUAGCAACUCAAUCCUCCAAGUUUCCUCCUUCCACAGGGCUUCUUCCCUCAAGCUAGUGAAAGGGAAAGCCACACUCCCCCAAAUCCACAUCAUAUGUAACGCGUUGGUGUUAACAAUCCUCCCUUGAGGAUCCAUCACCACCAACAUUGGUUUCUGGUUGAAGUGCCACACCUCCUUGAUGUACUUGAUCGCUGCUGGAUCAAGCAACGAGGGGUGGAACACUGAAUACCAUGGCAUCAUGUUUCUUACCCCCUCGAACUUGAUCUGGUCCUCAUCGGUCCACGGUGUGGACCGAAGAUUGGGAACCACCGGGAGCCAGACGACUUCGUACUGGCUCUCGGGCCUUGUUGGGCUUUGCUUCGCUUCCCUAUACAUCUGGUCAAGAACCGAUAGCUCCUCUGGAGGGAUGUCGAGGUCCGAAAUGAGAAGCAACACAAUCUUUUUCUUUAGUACCUCGAUUGUAACCUAUAUGAUCAUGCAUGAAAACUAAAUUCGAUUAUUUAUUGUAUAUCUAAAAUCUAAAUAUAUAAUAAAGUUUGAUGAAAAUUAUGCAGUUGAUCCGAUCGAACACUCACCCGAGUCUUUGUAGAGCUUUCAUACAAAGGUGGUUGAUCGUCCUUCAAGUAAAUCAAAUGCCUGAGAGGCUUCGUGUUAUCGAGAUGCCCGGUAUCCAUAAUGCGAAGAAUCGUUAGGUACGCUUCAAUCUGCCUCUUUUCAUCUAAUUAUCAGUGUAAAAAAAUUCAACUUAGUUAUGAAAAUUGAUGCAUACACGUUCAUUAAGUGAUGAUAUGUAACAUUUUUGGUCUUACUAAUGUGGUGAUUGCAAAGGUCUAAUUGGUCUUUGAGAUGAUCAUGAAUAUUGCUGAUCUUGUGGGCCAAACUCGAUAACUCCCAAGCUUCUGUGGUCGUCGUAAUAUGCCUAAGUUAAAAAAAAAAAUGUUAUAUUCAUUGAUAAGUUGUAGUAAUGG